AUCACUGGCAGCUAACAAUGUUUCCACCAGCCUUUCGGUGGUGUUGGAACUUUUAUUUUGUCCGCAGAAUGCAGUAGUACUGCAGCAACGAGAGGGUCUUGCAAGAAUAUUUACUUGUCACUCAUUGUUUUUAAUUCAUUACACAUCUAUGGUGUUAUAGUGUAAAUCAAACCAAGUUUAAUAUAUAACAAAACUAUUUGCAUGUCACUGCAAAAAUAUAUCGGUAGUAUAACAAAGACGAAAAUAUUACUCAUUUAUAUAAUAGUAUUCAUUUGCCUGAUAGGACAGAAAUGUCACCUUUAAACAAGCACUACAGAUGUUUGGCAAAGGGUGAUAUGAGGAUUUUUGGGAUGUAAAUAUGAUCUUUAGGUGUGCGUUUAUCACAGCAAAUUUUGUCAUAAUUGUGCUUUACCUGGGGAUACAUCCAUGAUGCAGUGAAAGUGGCUGCUUUGCGCAACCUCCGGCACGCAUCCACCUGCUCUCAGUGUCCUGGUUCAUCCGAGAAGCGGCAACCAUUCCAGUGUAAACAAAGGUGCCGAUCGAAAGCUGAAACGGGACUUGUAUGUCCUGACCGGCGAGCGAACUCUGAUACAGAGUUCAGAGUUAAAACCAUGUAUUCCAAGGAGGACAUAUUUGUCCUCUUCGACAGUAAAGAGUUAAGACCCCUGUACUCCCAAAGCAAACCUCGUCUUUAAUUUUCAGGGAGAGUGAUCUAUACUAUCCCUAUUACUACUACUAUUAUGACUAUUUCCAGGUUAAGAGUGACUACCUGGAGGAUGAAAGCAGGGCGGCAGAAGGCAUGGAUUUCGACACAGCCAUCCAGCUCACUUGCAUCGAAAUCAAGCGAGUCUUUAAGCGGAUGAACGGAUGCGCGAUGGACAAGAAGUCAAAUCUUGAGCAGCCGGAGAAGGAAGUCGGUCUACAUGAAUUCCUACCGGCUUACAUCAUCAACACCACCAAACAGAAAACGUUACGUAAGGCUUUGCAGGGAAACUUUAAGAAAUUCUCGGCGUUCUUCGAUUACGAAUCUCACUUCAAGUGCCUCGAGAUUUUGGGAAAAGUUGGAAAGUUUGACAUCGAAAACUUCCGCUGUGCACUCGGCUGUGGUUGGUCUAUUCCUGUCACUCUGCUUGUCGGCCCAAGUGUUGGUAUUUCCUACUGGACAGAUUCUGCCUCUGCCUUGCGUUGAAAUCGCCCAUGACGACAGUGGUGCCGGCAUCCACAGUGUGCUGCGUCAGUACUCCGCACUGAGCACCAUGACAAUAAGGGGAGGCAUCUGGAGGUAUAUAUACGCCUCCUAACUUCAGUUCUGGAAUGCAUCACAAAACCACCGUGGCAUAUCUGGUCCUCAGCAUCCACGUCAACUUGCUUCACACUGUGCAUCAGUGCAUCCUGGCCAAGCAUCACCACUCCUCUAUUGCGUCCACUUCUUGACACAUUUCGGCACACACUAAGUCCCGGUACUUGUACGUUGAAAUAUUUUGUGGCUUCAAGAAUCCAGACGAUGUCAAAGUCCAGAAUAAACUUCAGUAUACUUGGCUCUUGUAACUUGUCUUUGAGACCAGCAAUAUUCCACCAACAAAGCUUCACCUCUCUGUUUGCACCCAAAAAAAAAACGAGGAGUGAAGCUGUCGAUAAUGACGCCAUCUCUUGGCAGCACGCGGUUCUUCCAAUCGUAAGUGAUAUUUACUCCGGCAUUCUCAGCUUUCUCUCGCUCUU